AACUUCUACUAAAUACCAUCUGAGCCUAUUCCUGCACAAAAGAGAGACUGAAGAAAAGAAAUUUGGGCCAAAUUCCAUAUUCCUUUCCUCUUUCAUGGCAGAAAAUUGGUCAAAGGCACCACAGUAGCAUGAAACCGAAAAGGAGUAGCAUCACCUACUGAAUGUUUAAGGUCCCUGCCCAUGCCUAUGCUGUUCUUCUCCCCAGAAUGCCUAGCCACCUAACAAGUAGCUCUAUCACCCUUCCUUUACCCACCCUCCAGUUUGAGCCCUUUUCCCAGUCACCCUAUCCAUGCUUCAGGAGGCACCGAAAGUCUAUAUAGUAAGUACACCAAAGUGAUACACAGCAGCACAAAGCCAUAGUGAACUGAGAGAACUCACUGGGAAAAAAAUCAACCAAUCUGGGAACCUCUAGAUACCGGUCCUCAGCUGCACCCAGCUUGUGGCCCCAACAUGGACUGAUUUACUCUCAGACAGUAUUAACUGGCAUAAGUAGUUAGUUAUCCAAACUUGAGUGCCAACUUUAAGAGGGCCAUUCAGCUUUGAUACGAUUCCAUAACAACUACCUUUAUCGGGCGCCUACAACAAUCUGGCCACCUGCUUCAUGCUUACCAUCCCUACCCCACAAAUGAGGAAACUGAGACUCAAAGAAGUUAGGCCACUUGGAGUUAAACCACUUCCCUGAGGUCGCAGAGCCAGCAAGUGUCAGAAUCUGUAUACAAACCCAAGUCUUUCUGGCUCUAAAGUUUCUACUGCACAGAGGGUACUUUUACAAAGUAAUAAAGACAAAUAAUAGUAAACCAUUCUUCAAGAACA